UUGGUAUCUAAGAAAAAUGGUUUAAAGAGAGGUAGUUAUUUAAUUGGUUUCGUUCACUGAUCUGAUCAAUUUAUUGGUAUCUACGGAAAGCAAUGGGGGGACCCUCAUCGAUCUUACACUUUUCUGGCCAAUUUAGUUGAUUAGUCUUAAUGUAGUUGCUUGGUGACUCGAGCUAGCCCAUGCCUUUAGGAUUAGUCAUAACAAUUA
rnacentral:lncRNA from 1 species